GCAAUGGUGGUUCAAUGGUAGAAUUCCCACCUUCCAAGUGGGAGACCUGGGUUCGAUUCCCAGAUGGUGCA
rnacentral:tRNA from 1 species